AGGACCCACCUGCCCUGGAGCCCGGGUGAGGAGAGGACUCUCCAUGCUACUGUGGGCUCAGGAAAUUUGGGAAGCAGGAAAGCACUGCUGAAAUUCCGAGACACUUCAAAUGGAAAAGGACCAAGAUAGAAGGAGGAAUGAAACCGGUGGCUCGUCAGAAAUAAAGAAACUUCUCCGAGGCCAGCA